rnacentral:rRNA from 1 species
GAUGAACGCUGGCGGCGUGCCUAAUACAUGCAAGUCGAGCGAACGGACGAGAAGCUUGCUUCUCUGAUGUUAGCGGCGGACGGGUGAGUAACACGUGGAUAACCUACCUAUAAGACUGGGAUAACUUCGGGAAACCGGAGCUAAUACCGGAUAAUAUUUUGAACCGCAUGGUUCAACAGUGCAAGACGGUCUUGCUGUCACUUAUAGAUGGAUCCGCGCUGCAUUAGCUAGUUGGUAAGGUAACGGCUUACCAAGGCAACGAUGCAUAGCCGACCUGAGAGGGUGAUCGGCCACACUGGAACUGAGACACGGUCCAGACUCCUACGGGAGGCAGCAGUAGGGAAUCUUCCGCAAUGGGCGAAAGCCUGACGGAGCAACGCCGCGUGAGUGAUGAAGGUCUUCGGAUCGUAAAACUCUGUUAUUAGGGAAGAACAUAUGUGUAAGUAACUGUGCACAUCUUGACGGUACCUAAUCAGAAAGCCACGGCUAACUACGUG